rnacentral:rRNA from 1 species
AUUGAACGCUGGCGGCAGGCCUAACACAUGCAAGUCGAGCGGAUAAAGGGAGCUUGCUCCUGGAUUCAGCGGCGGACGGGUGAGUAAUGCCUAGGAAUCUGCCUGGUAGUGGGGGAUAACGUCCGGAAACGGGCGCUAAUACCGCAUACGUCCUGAGGGAGAAAGUGGGGGAUCUUCGGACCUCACGCUAUCAGAUGAGCCUAGGUCGGAUUAGCUAGUUGGUGGGGUAAAGGCCUACCAAGGCGACGAUCCGUAACUGGUCUGAGAGGAUGAUCAGUCACACUGGAACUGAGACACGGUCCAGACUCCUACGGGAGGCAGCAGUGGGGAAUAUUGGACAAUGGGCGAAAGCCUGAUCCAGCCAUGCCGCGUGUGUGAAGAAGGUCUUCGGAUUGUAAAGCACUUUUAGUUGGGAGGAAGGGCAGUAAGUUAAUACCUUGCUGUUUUGACGUUACCAACAGAAUAAGCACCGGCUAACUUCGUG